CCCACCAAACUGUAUAUCAGGGCUAUUCAACUAUAUUUUUCCGGGGGCCAAAUUUGUCAGAAUACUAUGAUCUGUGGGCCGGACAUUCUUGUGACCUGUACUAUUACUC